rnacentral:rRNA from 1 species
GUCAUAUGCUUGUCUCAAAGAUUAAGCCAUGCAUGUCUCAGUACAAGCCAAAUUAAGGUGAAACCGCGAAAGGCUCAUUAAAUCAGUUAUGGUUCCUUAGAUCGUACCCACAAUUACUUGGAUAACUGUGGUAAUUCUAGAGCUAAUACAUGCAAACAGAGCUCCGACCGGAGACGGAAGGAGUGCUUUUAUUAGAUCAAAACCAAUCGGUGGCGAGUUCGCUCGUCAUCGUACAACUUGGUGACUCUGAAUAACUUUACGCUGAUCGCACGGUCUCGCACCGGCGACGCAUCUUUCAAAUGUCUGCCUUAUCAACUGUCGAUGGUAGGUUCUGCGCCUACCAUGGUUGUAACGGGUAACGGGGAAUCAGGGUUCGAUUCCGGAGAGGGAGCCUGAGAAACGGCUACCACAUCCAAGGAAGGCAGCAGGCGCGCAAAUUACCCACUCCCGGCACGGGGAGGUAGUGACGAAAAAUAACGAUACGGGACUCAUCCGAGGCCCCGUAAUCGGAAUGAGUACACUCUAAACCCUUUAACGAGGAUCAAUUGGAGGGCAAGUCUGGUGCCAGCAGCCGCGGUAAUUCCAGCUCCAAUAGCGUAUAUUAAAGUUGUUGCGGUUAAAAAGCUCGUAGUCGAAUUUGUGUCUCGUGCCGCUGGUUCAUCGUCCGCGGUGUUAACUGGCGAGUCGCGAGACGUCCUGCCGGUGGGCUUUGCUCGCAAGGGCGGCCCAAAUCAAUCCUGCCGCGGUGCUCUUCAUUGAGUGUCGAGGUGGGCCGGCACGUUUACUUUGAACAAAUUAGAGUGCUUAAAGCAGGCUAAAACUUCGCCUGAAUACUGUGUGCAUGGAAUAAUGGAAUAGGACCUCGGUUCUAUUUUGUUGGUUUUCGGAACCCCGAGGUAAUGAUUAAUAGGAACGGAUGGGGGCAUUCGUAUUGCGACGUUAGAGGUGAAAUUCUUGGAUCGUCGC